GAAAUAUUACCUGAAACGUUGACUAUUGAUAAUAUAAUUGGAUUAUGUAUCUGUAAUCAUAAACAAUGAAAAACUACUUAUAUCUUACAGAAUAUGGACUGAUUCCUAUAGAAAAAAAAUAUUGUCCAAUGGAAUAACUUGUUUUGAUAUAGGUAUUACCAAACUAACAUAAAUUUGAUUUCUCUCUAGUUAUUUUGAUGUAUUCUGUAAAUUUUAAAAUACUAAUCAAAUACUAUGUGCUCAUUUCUAAGUUAGAAACUUGUUUUGGACUUUGUCCUUCCUAUUAUGUGCAUUAACUAUGUAAAUUAAACUAGUGCCUAAAAUUUACAAGACCUAAAUGAAUGCUGAAUGUAUCUCUCCAAUGACAACCUGUUCUGAAGAGAAGUGAAUGAUUUCAGAUACUCAUUUGGAUGUAGUUUUCUGUGUAAUCUCAAAUAUCAGAAUACUGAAUAUAAUAAGAGGCUAACAUUUUUUAAGUCCAAGCAAAUAUUUAGUACUAUACUGUGGCUUCAUUACAAUUCUCUUUCAUACUAUAUACUCAACUACAAGUCUAAGACAAUAAUAUACGAAGGAGACAUUUACUGUUUUGAUGGACAAUGUGCAUUGCAGGACUAAAAAUAUAUUUGUGAACUUUGCUAUAAUGGAAUAUUUUAUUUUUAUAGCAAAAGGUACUGUGAUUAGCACUAAUGGCCUGAGAGACUAAAAUAAUAACUGAUACCAUAGAGUAGCAUGAGCUGGCCAAACCUAGAGAGUAAGGAAAUCGUACAAUCUCCCCAAGUGAUGUGUCCAUCUGAAUUGUGUUAUAUAAUAUUAAUGGCCACAUGGUGAAGAAUAAAAGGUGCUGAAAAGGGCAUAUUCUUGUUCAAUAAAAGUUUGUUACCAAGACUAUAUAACAUCCUACAUAAGCUAACCGAAAAAACAAAUGUUAGCACUAAAAAUAGUAUUUGCUUCUGUGUAUCACAAUCUAAGAACUUUUUUGAAAUGUCACCUUGGAAAUUUCUUCAAUCUCUUUGACAAUGCCCCAGAAAUAUUUUAUUUUAUUUAGUGAGUUUUUAAAAGUAGAAAUCCAUGAUGGCAGAAACUUUGUCUUUUUUCAUUGAAUGUUAGUUUUAAUUGCUGAAUAAUUAUUGCAUAUAUUCAAGGAGCAAAAUGCGAUGUGUUGAUAUAACUAUGCAUUCUGGAAUGGAUAUAUCCAGCUAACUUACAUACCCAUGAACUCACAAUUAGAUCUCAAGAUCUUAGAACUAACUUCCUUCUAGAAGGCUGUCAAAUAUUUGUUGAAUUAAUAAUUCAGAUUCUGAAGCAGCAUAAGAAGAAGCAAAGGAAAU
rnacentral:lncRNA from 1 species